rnacentral:rRNA from 1 species
GUGCCUAAUACAUGCAAGUCGAGCGUGAGUCUUGAGGGAGCUUGCUCCCGAGAGGCUUAGCGGCGGACGGGUGAGUAACACGUAGGCAACCUGCCUGUAAGCCCGGGAUAACCCACGGAAACGUGAGCUAAUACCGGAUACGCGAAUUUGACGCCUGUCGGAUUCGGGAAAGACGGAGCAAUCUGUCACUUACAGAUGGGCCUGCGGCGCAUUAGCUAGUUGGUGGGGUAACGGCUCACCAAGGCGACGAUGUGUAGCCGACCUGAGAGGGUGAACGGCCACACUGGGACUGAGACACGGCCCAGACUCCUACGGGAGGCAGCAGUAGGGAAUCUUCCGCAAUGGACGAAAGUCUGACGGAGCAACGCCGCGUGAGUGAUGAAGGUUUUCGGAUCGUAAAGCUCUGUUGCCAGGGAAGAAUAGCGUCAUGUUCACUGCAUGACGUGUGACGGUACCUGAGAAGAAAGCCCCGGCUAACUACGUGCCAGCAGCCGCGGUAAUACGUAGGGGGCAAGCGUGUCCGGAAUUAUUGGGCGUAAAGCGCGCGCAGGCGGCUUCUUA